rnacentral:lncRNA from 1 species
GGGAGGCCGGGAGGGGUCCCUGGGCGGGGAGUUGCUGCGCAUCUGUUGUGUGUGUGCGUCUGUCUGUCUGUUCAGGUCUGUUUUAGGCUGUGUCUGUCUGUCUGUCUGGGUCUGUUUCAGGCUGUGUCUGUCUGUCUGUCCGGGUCUGUUUCAGGCUGUGUCUGGGUCUGUUUCAGGCUGUGUCUGUCUGUCUGUCCGGGUCUGUUUCAGGCUGUGUCUGUCUGUCUGUCCGGGUCUGUUUCAGGCUGUGUCUGUCUGUCUGUCCGGGUCUGUUUCAGGCUGUAUGUGUGUCUGCUCUUUGCUUCUGCUCCUGGCUCUGUGUGUAUUUCCCGGGUCCUGUGGCCCUCUUUG